rnacentral:rRNA from 164 species
UUGACCUCGGAUCAGGUAGGAAUACCCGCUGAACUUAAGCAUAUCAAUAAGCGGAGGAA